rnacentral:tRNA from 1 species
GCUUCGAUAGGCCAACGGAAGAGUCAACGGACUUAAAAUCCGUGAGUUGCGGGUUCGAAUCCCGCUCGAAGUACCA